GCUGCUGUACUGGCUGAUCCUGGCUUUUGUUUACACAGGUGAGAUUGGACCCGCCUUUGCAAUGGCAGAUGCUCUUAUCUCCACUGAGCUCAAUCGUCUGGUGUCAAGCUUGACCUGAUGUGCGGGCUGUGAAACUGUCAAGUGAGAGGGCUUCAGUUUUCUGGUCUUUGUGGGGGCGGGACCGCCAAGCCGAAUCACCUGUCUCCCUGCUUUCAGCUCUCCCUCUUUCUGGGGGGCAAGUAGAUCAGUCCCGCAGGCGCUCUUGACACUAGUCAAAACUUCUGCCCAGUUCUGUGCCGACAACUUGCGGUGCUGUGCUGGCCGGAGCUGUGGCUUAGAUCUGUGUUGGUAACUCACAGUGCUUUUCAGCCCUGUGGCAUUCUCCUGGACUGUGGGUUGCAAAGGGCAUGGGAGAAGCACAGUAUCUGAACCAGAGUGCUGAGGGGUAAAGUCCCUGAUCCUCCGGUCAGUUGCACUUCCUGGGUUGGGUAGCGCCCCACCCUGCCUCAGUUCUCCCUCCUUGGGCUACACCCACUGUCCAACUAGUCCCACUGAAGUGAACAUGGCACCUCAGUUGGAGAUAUGAAGAUCAUUUGCCUUCUGCAUCUCUCUCACUGGGAAGUGAGCUCCGGAGCUGUUCCUAUUCGGCCGCCUUGACAGAAGUCCCUGUCAUGUCUCUUAAAAUGAUUUAUAGUUUCAAACUAAUCCCAUCCAAAAUCUCAGAGGGCUUUUCUCCCCCUAAGAAACUGACAAUCUUAUUCUAAAUUUCACCUGCAAAAAUAAAGGACUUAGAAGAGCCAAAAUAAAUGUAAAAAAGAAAAAAUUUGGAGGAAUCACAAUACCUGCCUUCAAGACUUAUUAUAAAUAAAAUAAUCAUCAUCAGUGUAGUACUGACAUCAAAAAAGACAAAUAGAUCAAUGGAACAGAAUAAAGAGUUGAGAAACAGACACACACGCACACCACACACGCAAACACAUUGAAUUGAUUUUCAAUGAAUUUUCUAAAGGUAAUUAGGUAAAGGCAAUUAGGUAGAGAAAAUAUAGUUUUGUUCCAACAUACGGUGCUGGAACAACUGGGUAUCUAUAUGUCAAAAAGAAAACAAACUUGGAUUCAUAUCUUCCACCAUAUAUAAAAAUGAAUUCAAAACUGAUCAUAAAUCUAAAUGUAAAA